AUUCCACCCUCGCUCUAGGACAAUUGGACGGAGCAUUGGAUGGAGGAAGCCGAGACAGGCCUGUGAGAACCAUCAGCAGCUCCAUGUGCAAUAUUCAUCUGAAUCUCCCAGUACUGUUGUUAUAGAGGUAAUGAUCAUCCCAAUGACAUUAUCAUUAUUCAUCUAUCAGCAGUCAGAACAAUUCUGCAGUGUGAUAUUGUUUGGCAAUCAGACAGUUGUUGCUGAACACUGAAAACUACUACAUAU